UACAGAGGUCCCAAGCGUUGUUCGGAUUCACUGGGCGUAAAGGGUGCGUAGGUGGCGGGGUAAGUCGGAUGUGAAAUCUCCGAGCUCAACUCGGAAAUGGCAUUGGAAACUACCUUGCUUGAGGGUUGGAGGGGGGACUGGAAUACUUGGUGUAGCAGUGAAAUGCGUAGAUAUCAAGUGGAACACCAGUGGCGAAGGCGAGUCCCUGGACAACUCCUGACACUGAGGCACAAAAGCUAGGGGAGCAAACAGG
rnacentral:rRNA from 1 species